UAUGUUUGGUUUAAAGGAAAGGGGAAGGAAAGAAAGUCAGAGGAAGGAAAGAUGGUGGAAAGUGAAUCUUUCCACUGUUUGGAACAACCUUAAAAAGUGAAGGAAAGAAAAUUUUAUGUGGACCCCACCCAAAAAUCCUUUCCGCGCUACUUUGGACGGAAAGCGGGAAGAGCGACCAAAAUUUUGGGCAAAAGGACAAUAAUGCCCUUCUCUUUCAUCAAAUUCUAUUUGUCUUUUUGAAUACCCUUCAAAUCAAAAUCCUUCAAAAAAAUUGCUUGCUCUGGUUCUUGUUUACCUUCCAAAAUCAAACUGGUCCAUUUCAUUUGUUCUACUUCCACAACCUUUCAGUUGCUUUGUAAGUCCAAUUAGUCAUGGAAGUCAUGAAAGGGAGCGUAAACGUCUCGAUUUAAUGAGACAAUUAGUACAUACUGAAAAAUGCCGAGACAUAAUACGAAUGGGACCUGAGGCAUUUAUGUUAUUGUGUCAUAAAUUGAGGGGAACUGGUUAUGUGAAGGAUACUAUACGAUCCACAGUUGAAGAACAAGUUGCUAAGUUCCUACACAUCAUUGGUCAUAAUGUGAAAAAUCGCACCGUGUCAUUCUUCUUCCGCCGUUCUGGUGAGACUGUUAGCCGUCACUUUCACAAUGUUUUACGUGCCAUCAUUUCAUUAGAAGAUGAGUUCCUAGUCCAACCUUCUGGUAGGGAUGUACCUCCACAAAUAUUAAACAAUAGCAGAUUCUAUCCUUUUUUUAAGGAUUGCAUUGGAGCUAUAGAUGGAACACAUAUUCGGGUAAAGGUCCCAAGAGCG